rnacentral:rRNA from 1 species
AGCGAACGUUGGCGGCGCGCUUAACACAUGCAAGUCGUACGAGAAAAGGGGGCAACCCCUGAGUAGAGUGGCGCACGGGUGCGUAACACGUAGGCAAUCUUCCCUCAGGAGGGGGAUAACCAUCCGAAAGGAUGGCUAAUACCGCGUAAGACCACAGUUGCUUCGGCGACAGCGGUCAAAGGGGGCCUCUCCUUGGAAGCUCUCACCUGAGGUCGAGCCUGCGGCCCAUCAGCUAGUUGGUAAGGUAACGGCUUACCAAGGCUAAGACGGGUAGCUGGUCUGAGAGGAUGAUCAGCCACACUGGCACUGAAACACGGGCCAGACUCCUACGGGAGGCAGCAGUGGGGAAUAUUGGACAAUGGGCGAAAGCCUGAUCCAGCGACGCCGCGUGGGUGAUGAAGGCCUUCGGGUUGUAAAGCCCUGUGGGCAGGGAAGAAAACGUUGCAGGCGAAUAGGCUGCGACCUUGACGGUACCUGCUCAGAAAGCACCGGCUAACUCUGUGCCAGCAGCCGCGGUAAAAC